GGAGAGGUCGCAUAGUGGACUAGUGCACCGGUCUUGAAAACCGGAGUCCGUUCACACGGACCGUGGGUUCGAAUCCCACCCUCUCCGCCA
rnacentral:tRNA from 3 species